CAGCCAAUUUUUUCCUGUUCUCUCUCACUCUCACUGCCUCUCUUUCCGCAAUCUCACAUCUUUGCCUCUUGACGCUUGCUCCUCAGUCCGAUCUCCUUCCGCGACUCGAUCUCUAUCUGCGAUUUCAAUCGCACCAUACAUCCGCAACCAAGAUCGGUCUUCCUCUGUGGUCCGAUAACAUUUGCACGGCCACUUGGAUCGUAUUUUCGGAGUCAAGUUCGAUCUCCCGUUUCGCUUCAAUUUCCAUCAACGCUUUCACGUAGAUCAUACAAUUGGAAUCAAGUGUUCUUUGGUCAAGCUUGCAAAGCCGAGGCCAUAGAUACUUCUGGAUUGACUCUAGCACUGGGUACCUGGGAGGAGCAGCAAGAAAAGUUUCAAAGAUUGAUUUUACUAUUCCGUGGAAAUGACGUGCGUUCUGUAGAGGCUUGUCAUACUCACAAUUCUAGAAGAUGCAACUGUAGGGAUUCUGGUAGCGGUUGAAGGGGUACCCAUCCCAGUCGGACAGCUAUACGUCCAACAUUUGUGUCAACCUGUUAAAGGUAUGCAGCCUCCACUGAGACGACCCCUCAUAGAGCUGGACUCCAAUUCAACUUGAUAGCUAGAGCCAGAAUCGAACAGGUCGCUUG